ACCUGGACAGCAGCAGCAGUAAUAUUCAGCCCACGGGGAGGGCCUCAUGGCUUGUGUGACCACCACCACCAGGCGGGUCAAGCUUGGUGUGUGAAAACUUCUAGGCCUCUCGACGUAUCUGCCAUCUAUGACGGAACACACAGAACUAUAAAGACUAUUUGGUAGACAGGAAAAAUAGAAAAAUAUCUCUCCUUACACAUUUGGCCCAGAUGUUUUACUGCGUGUCAAGACAUUUGUGGGUGCCGCUGUCCCCAUAGCUGUUGCUGUAAAAUAUUGUAAUAUCAGAUUAUGUGUUCAAGAGU